AGAGUUUGAUCAUGGCUCAGGAUGAACGCUGGCGGCGUGCCUAACACAUGCAAGUCGAACGGACUUUUCAUGAAGCCUAGCGAUUGAAGAGUUAGUGGCGGACGGGUGAGUAACGCGUGGGUAACCUGCCUUGUACUGGGGGACAACAGUUGGAAACGACUGCUAAUACCGCAUAAGCGCACAGCUUCGCAUGAAGCAGUGUGAAAAACUCCGGUGGCACAAGAUGGACCCGCGUCUGAUUAGCUGGUUGGUGAGGUAACGGCCCACCAAGGCGACGAUCAGUAGCCGGCCUGAGAGGGUGAACGGCCACAUUGGGACUGAGACACGGCCCAAACUCCUACGGGAGGCAGCAGUGGGGAAUAUUGCACAAUGGGGGAAACCCUGAUGCAGCAACGCCGCGUGAGUGAAGAAGUAUUUCGGUAUGUAAAGCUCUAUCAGCAGGAAAGAAAAUGACGGUACCUGACUAAGAAGCCCCGGCUAACUACGUGCCAGCAGCCGCGGUAAUACGUAGGGGGCAAGCGUUAUCCGGAUUUACUGGGUGUAAAGGGAGCGUAGACGGUUUUGCAAGUCUGAAGUGAAAGCCCGGGGCUUAACCCCGGGACUGCUUUGGAAACUGUAGGACUAGAGUGCAGGAGAGGUAAGUGGAAUUCCUAGUGUAGCGGUGAAAUGCGUAGAUAUUAGGAGGAACACCAGUGGCGAAGGCGGCUUACUGGACUGUAACUGACGUUGAGGCUCGAAAGCGUGGGGAGCAAACAGGAUUAGAUACCCUGGUAGU
rnacentral:rRNA from 1 species